rnacentral:rRNA from 1 species
GACGAACGCUGGCGGCGUGCUUAACACAUGCAAGUCGAACGGAGCGAAUGAAAGCUUGCUUUUAUGAGCUUAGUGGCAAACGGGUGAGUAACACGUAGACAACCUGCCGACAGGAUGGGGACAACAUUCCGAAAGGAAUGCUAAUACCGAAUGAAGCGGAGGAGAGGCAUCUCUCCUCCGUGAAAGAUGGCCUCUAUUUAUAAGCUAUCACCUGUCGAUGGGUCUGCGUCUGAUUAGCUGGUUGGUGAGGUAACGGCUCACCAAGGCGACGAUCAGUAGCCGGUCUGAGAGGAUGAACGGCCACAUUGGGACUGAGACACGGCCCAGACUCCUACGGGAGGCAGCAGUGGGGAAUCUUCCGCAAUGGGCGCAAGCCUGACGGAGCAACGCCGCGUGAGUGAAGAAGGUCUUCGGAUCGUAAAGCUCUGUUGACGGGGACGAACGUACGGAGUGCGAAUAGUGCUCUGUAAGGACGUACCUUCGAGAAGCCACG